UACGGGGGGGGCAAGCGUUGUUCGGAAUUACUGGGCGUAAAGGGCGCGUAGGCGGCCAGCGCAAGUCAGUUGUGAAAUCUCCGAGCUUAACUCGGAAAGGUCAACUGAUACUGCGCGGCUAGAGUGCGGAAGGGGCAACUGGAAUUCUUGGUGUAGCGGUGAAAUGCGUAGAUAUCAAGAGGAACACCUGCGGCGAAGGCGGGUUGCUGGGCCGACACUGACGCUGAUGCGCGAAAGCCAGGGGAGCGAACGGG
rnacentral:rRNA from 1 species